CGCCUACGGGGGCAGCAGUAGGGAAUCUUCCACAAUGGACGAAAGUCUGAUGGAGCAACGCCGCGUGAGUGAAGAAGGGUUUCGGCUCGUAAAGCUCUGUUGGUAGUGAAGAAAGAUAGAGGUAGUAACUGGCCUUUAUUUGACGGUAAUUACUUAGAAAGUCACGGCUAACUACGUGCCAGCAGCCUCGGUAAUACGUAGGUGGCAAGCGUUUUCCGGAUUUAUUGGGCGUAAACCGAGCGCAGGCGGUUCCAUAAGU
rnacentral:rRNA from 1 species